UGAAAAUUUCAAGGUUAAGAGAUAAGAAUUUAAGAUACGAGGAUAUUUUGAGUUAGAAAUAGUCAUUUGGCCUUCACACAAGCUCAAAGUAUGUCCGACAAGGAAUUGUUAACAGAGUAGAAACUGUUGCUUGCGUUAGAUUUUGCAUCAAGAGAUUCACUUUAGAUGUUCCAAUCGAAGUGGUUGUUGGUCAGACCACAAGUAUGUCAUCUGUUUCCCGGUAUCUAGUGUGGUGAAAAUUAGAACCAUUGAUGGUGUGUGGCAAGUCUGGACUUUGCCCUGUAUUCUUCUUUCUUUCAAGCCUACCUGUUGUUGAAAUGAGGGCGAGUCAAUUUAAUCGAGGAGCUGAAUAUCUGAGUUCAUAUGUGUUUUCACCAAUGGUCUCAGACAUUAGCAAAGUCCAUCUCUCAAAUUCUUGACCAUUUGGAGGUCUGUCCCUUCUGGAGUCUCACUAUGAAUGCACUUGAUGUUUCCAAACAAUCUUCUUCAAAGGAGAAUCCAGACAAGGCAAAAAGAGAUUCCUCUUCGACAGAACCUACAGAGCAAGGCCAAUGGAUUACUUCUUACAAUUUUAAAUAAAAUCAUUUCUAUAUCUGGAAAUGAUUUGUUAUAGACAACAAAUCUAUGCACUCUCUGACCAACUUCAAUUCAUCUCCAACAAGGUGUGGUUUUGAUUCCCGGUCUUUCUUUUAA